GACGAACGCUGGCGGCGUGCCUAAUACAUGCAAGUCGAACGCAGUGGGGACGGGUGAGUAACACGUGGGUAACCUCCCAUCAGAGGGGAUAACACUUGGAAACAGGUGCUAAACCGAUACUGAUGGAUGGACCCGCGGUGCAUUAGCUAGUUGGUGAGGUAAAGGCCUACCAAGGCAAGGAUGCAUAGCCGACCUGAGAGGGUGAUCUGCCACAUUGGGACUGUGACACGGCCCAACCUCCUACGGUAGGCAGCAGUAGGGAAUCUUCCGCAAUGGGCGCAAGCCUGACGGAGCAACGCCGCGUGAGUGAAGAAGGUUUUCGGAUCGUAAAGCUCUGUUGUCAGAGAAGCGGUAUCUUACCAGAAAGCCACGGCUAACUACGUGCCAGCAGCCGCGGUAAUAC
rnacentral:rRNA from 1 species